UUAAGUUAGAAAGGGCGCACGGUGGAUGCCUUGACACUAGGAGUCGAUGAAGGACGGGACUAACGCCGAUAUGCUUCGGGGAGCUGUAAGUAAGCUUUGAUCCGAAGAUUUCCGAAUGGGGAAACCCACCAUACGUAAUGGUAUGGUAUCCUUAUCUGAAUACAUAGGGUAAGGAAGACAGACCCAGGGAACUGAAACAUCUAAGUACCUGGCAGGAAGAGAAAGCAAAUGCGAUUUCCUCGAGUAGCGGCGAGCGAAACGGAACAUAGCCCAAACCAAGAGGCUUGCCUCUUGGGGUUGUAGGACAUUCUAUACGGAGUUACAAAGGAACGAGGUAGACGAAGCGACCUGGAAAGGUCCGUCGUAGAGGGUAACAACCCCGUAGUCGAAACUUCGUUCUCUCUUGAAUGUAUCCUGAGUACGGCGGAACACGUGAAAUUCCGUCGGAAUCUGGGAGGACCAUCUCCCAAGGCUAAAUACUCCCUAGUGAUCGAUAGUGAACCAGUACCGUGAGGGAAAGGUGAAAAGCACCCCGGAAGGGGAGUGAAAGAGAUCCUGAAACCGUGUGCCUACAAAUAGUCAGAGCCCGUUAACGGGUGAUGGCGUGCCUUUUGUAGAAUGAACCGGCGAGUUACGAUCCCGUGCGAGGUUAAGCUGAAGAGGCGGAGCCGCAGCGAAAGCGAGUCUGAAUAGGGCGUUUAGUACGUGGUCGUAGACCCGAAACCAGGUGAUCUACCCAUGUCCAGGGUGAAGUUCAGGUAACACUGAAUGGAGGCCCGAACCCACGCACGUUGAAAAGUGCGGGGAUGAGGUGUGGGUAGCGGAGAAAUUCCAAUCGAACCUGGAGAUAGCUGGUUCUCCCCGAAAUAGCUUUAGGGCUAGCCUUAAGUGUAAGAGUCUUGGAGGUAGAGCACUGAUUGGACUAGGGGUCCUCAUCGGAUUACCGAAUUCAGUCAAACUCCGAAUGCCAAUGACUUAUCCUUAGGAGUCAGACUGCGAGUGAUAAGAUCCGUAGUCAAAAGGGAAACAGCCCAGACCGCCAGCUAAGGUCCCAAAGUGUGUAUUAAGUGGAAAAGGAUGUGGAGUUGCUUAGACAACUAGGAUGUUGGCUUAGAAGCAGCCACCAUUUAAAGAGUGCGUAAUAGCUCACUAGUCGAGUGACUCUGCGCCGAAAAUGUACCGGGGCUAAAUACACCACCGAAGCUGCGGAUUGAUACCAAUGGUAUCAGUGGUAGGGGAGCGUUCUAAGGACAGUGAAGUCAGACCGGAAGGACUGGUGGAGUGCUUAGAAGUGAGAAUGCCGGUAUGAGUAGCGAAAGACGGGUGAGAAUCCCGUCCACCGAAUGCCUAAGGUUUCCUGAGGAAGGCUCGUCCGCUCAGGGUUAGUCAGGACCUAAGCCGAGGCCGACAGGCGUAGGCGAUGGACAACAGGUUGAUAUUCCUGUACCACCUCUUUAUCGUUUGAGCAAUGGAGGGACGCAGAAGGAUAGAAGAAGCGUGCGAUUGGUUGUGCACGUCCAAGCAGUUAGGCUGAUAAGUAGGCAAAUCCGCUUAUCGUGAAGGCUGAGCUGUGAUGGGGAAGCUCCUUAUGGAGCGAAGUCUUUGAUUCCCCGCUGCCAAGAAAAGCUUCUAGCGAGAUAAAAGGUGCCUGUACCGCAAACCGACACAGGUAGGCGAGGAGAGAAUCCUAAGGUGUGCGAGAGAACUCUGGUUAAGGAACUCGGCAAAAUGACCCCGUAACUUCGGGAGAAGGGGUGCUUUCUUAACGGAAAGCCGCAGUGAAUAGGCCCAAGCGACUGUUUAGCAAAAACACAGCUCUCUGCGAAGCCGUAAGGCGAAGUAUAGGGGGUGACACCUGCCCGGUGCUGGAAGGUUAAGGAGAGGGGUUAGCGUAAGCGAAGCUCUGAACUGAAGCCCCAGUAAACGGCGGCCGUAACUAUAACGGUCCUAAGGUAGCGAAAUUCCUUGUCGGGUAAGUUCCGACCCGCACGAAAGGUGUAACGAUUUGGGCACUGUCUCAACCAGAGACUCGGUGAAAUUAUAGUACCUGUGAAGAUGCAGGUUACCCGCGACAGGACGGAAAGACCCCGUGGAGCUUUACUGUAGCCUGAUAUUGAAUUUUGGUACAGUUUGUACAGGAUAGGCGGGAGCCUUUGAAACCGGAGCGCUAGCUUCGGUGGAGGCGCUGGUGGGAUACCGCCCUGACUGUAUUGAAAUUCUAACCUACGGGUCUUAUCGACCCGGGAGACAGUGUCAGGUGGGCAGUUUGACUGGGGCGGUCGCCUCCUAAAGUGUAACGGAGGCGCCCAAAGGUUCCCUCAGAAUGGUUGGAAAUCAUUCGUAGAGUGCAAAGGCAUAAGGGAGCUUGACUGCGAGACCUACAAGUCGAGCAGGGACGAAAGUCGGGCUUAGUGAUCCGGUGGUUCCGCAUGGAAGGGCCAUCGCUCAACGGAUAAAAGCUACCCCGGGGAUAACAGGCUUAUCUCCCCCAAGAGUCCACAUCGACGGGGAGGUUUGGCACCUCGAUGUCGGCUCAUCGCAUCCUGGGGCUGUAGUCGGUCCCAAGGGUUGGGCUGUUCGCCCAUUAAAGCGGUACGCGAGCUGGGUUCAGAACGUCGUGAGACAGUUCGGUCCCUAUCCGUCGUGGGCGUAGGAAAUUUGAGAGGAGCUGUCCUUAGUACGAGAGGACCGGGAUGGACGCACCGCUGGUGUACCAGUUGUUCUGCCAAGGGCAUAGCUGGGUAGCUAUGUGCGGAAGGGAUAAGUGCUGAAAGCAUCUAAGCAUGAAGCCCCCCUCAAGAUGAGAUUUCCCAUAGCGUAAGCUAGUAAGAUCCCUGAAAGAUGAUCAGGUUGAUAGGUUCGAGGUGGAAGCAUGGUGACAUGUGGAGCUGACGAAUACUAAUAGAUCGAGGACUUAACCAU
rnacentral:rRNA from 1 species